rnacentral:lncRNA from 10 species
AAUACAUUUCGGAGGGAUAAUUGCACUGGGUAUUACACGAUACUAGAGAAUUCGUGUUAAUUUUCUUAUGUAUGAAAAUGGCAUUGCAGUUAUGUAGGCGAAUGACCUUAUUUUAGAGAUUAUAUCCUUAUUUUUAGCAGAUACAACUCUGAGACACAGUCAUUAUUCAGGAGUUAGGUGUCAUGAUGUCUGCAUCCCUUUAAAUUUUCAGAAAAAGAAGUAUAGAAAGAGCAAAUAUGGAAAACAUUAAUUUGAAUCUACCUGGUUGGUAAAUAGGUAUCCACUGUACUAUUUUUUCGAUUUUUAAAAUUCGUUUGAAAAUUUACAGUAAAAACUGAAAAUAACUAACGUAUCAUUUGAAAUGAUACGUUAGUAUCCUAACUCUAAAUUGCUUGGUUUAUACACACCCGCCAGAGAACAGAAAGCCACUGUUUCCGGAAGGUGGCAAGACAGCAGCAGAUGGCAGAGAAAACAGCUCUGUUUCCUCAAAUGAUUCUCCAACCAGCACAGAUAAACACAGCAAAGGGGGACUGCAGUCAAAGUGAGCUGUCAAAAUAUGGAUGACAAAAAAAUUGCAGACAACUGAUAUACGAGAGGAGAGAUCACUAAAGCAGGAAGAUAAGAUCUAUCCAAGCAACAUUGCAAGCAAGCAAGGCAGUCUGUUUGCUCUUUCAAAGAAAGCCUUGGAGAAACAGCAACCCUAUUGUCUAAGAAAGAGAACAAGAAUGAUUUCCGAACACGACUGGUCAAACAUGCUACCCUUCAGAGUGUGUGUCUAUAUAUGUAUGUAAAAUCCAAGUGUCUCGUUUACUGCAAAACAACCUUUAUCCUGAAGAACACUUCAGCUCAAGAAAAUGCUCUUUAAAAUGUCUAAUUCCCUACUGUGAUUUCCUUUAAAGUUCUAAUUAGUUGUGCACCAUAAUGAAUUCUGUAAAUUGCAGUGUGUCAUUUAAAACUUUUAAAGUACAGAAGGCUCUAAUAAUGAGUUUUGCCAAAAUCAGUCUUUGAAGAAAGUAAUUUUGACAUGUAGGUUUCAUAUUUUUGGAGAUGUCUUACAUUUUAGAUACAAUCACAAUGUUGAGUCGCAAAUUAAUAUUUGUUGCUUAAUGCCAUCAAAAUGUCAGAUUAAUGAGUAAUUAACAACGUUUGUACAUAAUGUGAUUUCCUUCUUUCUGCAAAGGCCAAAAGCAUAAUGGAGAAUUCAAGUCAAGAAACAUCUUUCAACAAAUACAUUUUCUGAGUUCUCCUUUUAAAUAACUUACUACCAGGUCUAUAACUGUCUUCUUUUAAUGGUCAGCAAACAGCUGGGUUUCCAGAUAACAUGGAGAACAUAAAAUAUUCAUGUUAUUUAAGCGAUUUCUAUAUUUUACUCAUGUUCUUUUAUUUGCUGGUCUUGAAGGGGAAAGAAACCAUGGCCACUGCCUGCUCCCACCUCCUUUUAAAGGAAAGAUUUAUUCCCUUCUACAACCUCUACCUGCUAUGCCCUGCUUUAGGACUACUUUAAGCUACUCUGUAUCCCAUACCUAUUUUUCAAUCUUUCCUUCCCUUCUUGGAUUUAAUUGAAACGUGACUCUCUCUAAGCAUACUGUCCACGUUCCCACCUUCCUCAGAAGAGGCAAGAGCUGCCCUCUGUUUGGUCAGUGUCAGCCUUGGCCUUCCCCUGGACACAUCCUCUCUCCAUGUCCCCAGUCUGACCACGCCCACAGCGCCAUUCCACUCCAUUCAGCUCCUCCUCUUGCACUGGGACCAUUUAUCCCUCUGUUGUCUAUUGCCGGCCUUCCCUUUCCAUUCCAAGGCUCAGGAUUAAGGAAUUGGAAGCCACCCUCUCCACAGCCCAGCCUCCUGCACUGCUAGCAUUUUCCUAAACCCCUCAAGCCAAUUCCUGGCCUCAGACCAUUCCCACCAUCCACUCUAUCCAUUCCUCUGCCUGGGUCACAGAUCACUGAGACGGAGAGAAGACAAAUCUUUGUGAAGCUGCCUUAUUACUGAUUCAAACACCACCAACUUUGAGAAGCAUGGAUGGUGCUCAGACACGCUUCACGCAUGCCUCCUCGUCUUCCUGACCCAGACCCCACAGGAACUAUUCUGUUUCCCAGUCUGCUUAAGUUCUCCUUAGUUCCCAGCCCUGUCUCACUGGGGGGCCUUGCUCCUGCACCAUGCGAAGGAGAGCCCUCUGGAGAGUGUGGACCCAGCCAGGGUCCCUUCACUGCCUCUCGCCCACCCCACAGCCCAACACACCUGUUCCUUUUCCCCUCCCAUAACUCAUUUAUAAUUCCCAAUAUGAAUAACAUCUCUAGCCAAAACCCAAGGCAGCUGUGUAUUUCUUUCUACUUGCAUGUUUUGCAGUGAUGGACUUCCGAAGACUACCAUGUCUCAAACUGUCUCCUUUCUCAGCAGUCCCAUUCUUGCCACUCAUGCUAUGUAUUACUUUUUAAAAAUUACAGACAGGAUCUCGUUUUGUUGCCCAGGCUGGCCUUGAACUCCUGGGCUCAGGCGAACCUGUCUCCUCAGCCUCCCAAGUAGCUGGGACUGCAGGCACAUGUCACCACGCCCAGUAUUACUUUUUAAUUUCAAUUUAAAGUGCACUAAAAUAAAAAUCCUGAGCAAGUUAAGUGUCCAGUGUCCACCUGUGCCUGCAAAUUAAUGUAAAAGUAAAUGAAACCACAAGGGAGAUUCCUUGCAUUUUAUCAAUGAUACUAAUUUUGGGGCACAUACAAAAAGAGGUACUCCCUAGACCCAUAUAACAUGCCAGAAAACCUGUUAUCCAAUCUCCCCAUUACUGAUCUUCAAGAAAUAGCUGGCCCUCGCUUUCUCAGCAAACAGUCUAAUCGGUAAGUGGAACUCUGGGUGUUAAAUCACCUUGCCUCCAUGGCAUUGCAGGUGGCUCUGGCAGUUGCAUAGUCCAGCACGUCCUUGAUUUCCCACGCAGAACACAGAGGAAUGUACACAAAAGCACUGGUAAGCAAAAUAGCUCCCAAACAGCUCUCGAAGGCUUAAACUGCCACUAACACUAAACAUCCUGAAUCAGGGGGCCUAUCUAAGGAGCAAAUUCCCUGCCUACCCAGGGAAUACACCACCCAGCUGGCGUAUUUUAAGAAGCUGAACAGUGGGCGCAUCUUUAUCUUGCUCUGGAGCCUCACAAGGGCUCAACACAUCGCACUUCCCAUGCUCAAUCUCUGCAGACCCUGUUGCCCAAGUCUGUUUUCUGUGUCAAGUCCCCAGUCUAGGACAUACUCUCAAAUCUGCUAAUAUUACCACUUAAGAAGCACAUUCUUGAUGCUUUUUUACAGAUGACAUUUAAAAAAACAUCAGAGAAUGGUUGUUACUUUUUUCUUAACUUGGCUAUCUGAAGGUGAACCCCAACUCUGCCUAUAGAAGCUGUUCCCAGAGAAAAUCUGGGACUGCAGUGAAGGCACAUGGGUUGCCACAAGCUCCAGCGUUACCAAAAUCUCCCUACCCACUCACCUCCUUAGCUCCCACCCUUUCCACUAUUCUCACACAGUUAGCAGCACCCAAGAGAACUUUGGGAAAACAGCCCUUUUUCACCAUCAGAACCUCAACUCAAUGACGGGUAAGGUCUUGUUCCCAUAGCCCUGUAGCUCAGGUACUGUUCUCCCUUGCCUGAUCCAGUGUGCCCCAGUGAUGAGUGGGAGGAAAAACAGGAACCGUCUGCUACUCAGGAUCAUAGGGUGCUUUCUUCUUCUUGGUAUGGAUUACUGCAAUAAAAUGAGCUUCUUCCAAG